UCCUCGAUGGUGUAGUGGUUUUAACACGUGUCAAUGCCAAUGAACGCCUACGUUGGCCUUCAUUAUUGACAGAUCCUGGGAUCGACCCCCAGGCGAGGAU